AUUGAACGCUGGCGGCAGGCCUAACACAUGCAAGUCGAACGAGUGGCGGACUGGUGCGUAAUGUCUGGGAAACUGCCCGAUGGAGGGGGAUAACUACUGGAAACGGUAGCUAAUACCGCAUACCAUCGGAUGUGCCCAGCUGGGAUUAGCUCGCAGGUGGGGUAACGGCUCACCUAGGCGACGAUCCCUAGCUGGUCUGAGAGGAUGACCAGCCACACGGGAACUCAGACACGGUCCAGAAUCCUACGGGAGGCAGCAGUGGGGAAUAUGGGACAAUGUGCGCAAGCCUGAUGCAGCCAUGCCGCGUGAAUGAAGAAGGCCUUCGGGUUGUAAAGUACUUUCAGCGAGGAGGCGUUACUCGCAGAAGAAGCACCGGCUAACUCCGUGCCAGCAGCCGCGGUAAUAC
rnacentral:rRNA from 1 species